rnacentral:lncRNA from 10 species
CCCAGCUAAUUUUUGUAUUUUUAGUAGAGACAGGGUUUCAGUGUGUUAGCCAAGAUGAUCUCAAUCUCCUGACCUUGUGAUCCACCCGCCUUGGCCUCCCAAAGUGCUGGGAUUACAGGCAUGAGCCACUGCGCCCGGCCCUUUUUUAAUUUUUUAAUUUGUUAUUUUAUUGUUUUAGUGUAUAUUUCCUGAAAUAUCUUUUUUUUUCCUGUUAUCUGAGGACUGUCUUUCCAUAAUUUAUUCUAAUUGUGCCUCUAAAUAUAAGCUUCCUAUCAGUGUUCUGUCUUCCUUGUUCCAUCUCCUACCCUGUUGUAACUGAGAAGCUUCUGGAAAGGAGGAGAAAUAAAUGUAGGGAGUCAGUAGCCCCUUUUGCAGCAUUAGUCUUCCUUUUCAGAAGGACCAUCUCAGCGUCUCAGUGGCAAGUAGUUGCUUCUAGACCUUGCAUCUUGGAAGGUCAUGUAAUGUCUGAGAAUGAGCUCUGACAUUAGGCAGCCCUGGGUUUGAACCCUGGUUCCUCUACUGACUAGCUGUGUAACCUUUACAGUUAAGAGCACUUGUAAGUUUUUGUUUCUGUUGUAUGUCAGGGAAGAGGGGUUCUCCUUUAGAAAGUGCCUUGACUGGUGGAGGACACAGAUGAGCAGGGACUUUUCCAACACCAGCUUUGCCUUUGACUUUUCCUCUUUUCAGAUCCUUUUUACUGGGCCUGGUUGCCCCAGGCGAAAGUCCCAUUUUCUCAGGAGAUCAAAGAUCUGAUCCUUCCAAAGAUAUCGGACCCUAACUUCGUCAAGGACUUGGAAGAGGACCUAUAUGAACUCUUCAAGAAAGAUCCUGGUUUCGACAGGGGCCAGUUCCAUAAGCAGAUUGCUGUCAUGCGGGGCCAGAUCUUAAAUCUGACCCAGGCCUUGAAAGACAACAAGAGUCCCCUGCACCUCGUCCAGAUGCCACCUGUGAUUGUCGAGACGGCCCGUUCCCACCAGCGGUCUUCUAGCGAGUCCUACACACAGAGCUUUCAGAGCCGGAAGCCCUUCUUUUCAUGGUGGUAGCUCCAGAGGCAGGCAGAGGAAAUAUUGUCAGAGACUGGUGGGAGGAAGCCUGGGGAGUGGGGUGCAGGAAAAGCCAGAGAAGCCGGUGGAGAGCAGCACCUUUAAGAGCCCUCUCUCUCUGCUUGCCACCCUGCUCAGAGCUUUCCACCCACAGGGAGAAGCACAAUCAGGAACAGUGAGUGCUCCUCGCCCUUCUGAUGUGGGGGAGGCUGGAGCUCCAUGCACGUAGUCCAGAUGCCUGGGAAGGAACAUCUCCCUUCCAGCAUCUGCUGGUAGCAGGCUGGGACAGUCCCUUCCUUCCCUGAAACCCUGCUCUAUUGCAAUUCCCUAUUAUAUUCUGCAUCAG